rnacentral:rRNA from 1 species
GAUGAACGCUGGCGGCGUGCCUAAUACAUGCAAGUCGAGCGAACAGACGAGGAGCUUGCUCCUCUGACGUUAGCGGCGGACGGGUGAGUAACACGUGGAUAACCUACCUAUAAGACUGGGAUAACUUCGGGAAACCGGAGCUAAUACCGGAUAAUAUAUUGAACCGCAUGGUUCAAUAGUGAAAGACGGUUUUGCUGUCACUUAUAGAUGGAUCCGCGCCGCAUUAGCUAGUUGGUAAGGUAACGGCUUACCAAGGCGACGAUGCGUAGCCGACCUGAGAGAGUGGUCGGCCACACUGGAACUGAGACGCGGGCCAGACUCCUACGGGAGGCAGCAGUAGGGAAUCUUCCGCAAUAGGCGAAAGCCUGACGGAGCAACGCCGCGUAAGUGAUGAAGGUGUUCGGAUCGUAAAACUCUGUUAUUAGGGAAGAACAAAUGUGUAAGUAACUAUGCACGUCUUGACGGUACCUAAUCAGAAAGCCACGGCUAACUACGUG